AUACCUUUCUCGGCCUUUUGGCUAGGAUCAAGUCUAGUAUCUGUUCUUAUCAGUUUAAUAUAUCUGAUAUGUGGGUCAUGUGCCCACUUCGAUAUUAAAUUUAUUUUUUGUGGGGUGGGUCCACCACAGUGGCUUGCCACUGGGGCCCUCGCGNNNNNNNN
rnacentral:snRNA from 1 species